CUCCCAGAGGCGCGGCUGCGUGCUCCAGGCGAGAAUCGGGAGGAGGAGCCGCCUGCAAGGAUAGGCCCAGGAGCAAUGGCGUCCAAAGAGGAACAAGUGGUUAAAAAUCUCAACAUGGAAAAUGCCAACCAGGAAAA